rnacentral:rRNA from 1 species
GGGUGUGAUCAUACAAGUGUUAAUGCAUCGAAUCCCAUUAGAACUCAAAAAUUAAGCGCGCUUGGUCUAGAGUAGUAAUGGGAUGGGUGACCUCCCUGGAAGUCCUAGUGUUACACCCU